CUUGAGAUCUCUCUCUCUCUCUCUCUCUCUCUCUCUCUGUGUGUUUGGUUGCGAAGAACAAACACAAAGAAUGCCAGAAAGCGAAACCACUUCACAGAAAUUGUGAACGAAAGGAAAUGAAAAUCAGAUCUCUGGCGGAGGAGCGGUGGUGGAUCCACAUCGGAUAUGUUGAUGUUGAAGGACCAGGACAUCUCUUCCAUUGAGAAAGGUCUCACCUGCAUCAUCACUUUGAGAUGAAAGAUCUUGGCUCACUUAUUUUCUUGUUAUUGUGGUGGCUUCUUCUCCUAAAGGGUAUCUUCUAUCUCAGUCCAAAUAUGCAGUUGAUGUUAUUCAGAGGGCCAAUAUGACAGAUUCCUGAAUUGUUGAUACUCUAUAUGAACUUAAUGUGCACACUAUACCUCUACUGAUGGUGUUCCUUUAUCUGAUCCUACUUUGUAUUCUGUUCUGGUGGGCAGUCUUGUUUAUCUGACAAUUACUCGCCCCAACAUCGCCUAUGCAGUACAUGACGUCAGUCAGUUUGUUUCCAACUUGACUACUGUUCACCGGGCUUAUGUUCUUUUGUAUUUUGCUCUAUUUUCAGGGUUCCUUGCAUCAAAGUCUAUUGUUAUUUGCUACUUCUUUGGAUCUUCAUGCCUUUUCUAAUGCUAAUUGGGUUCGUGAUGCUAUGGAUCAUAAGUCAACUACUGGUCUUUGUGUUUUUCUAGGUGAUCAGAUUUGAUUAUAUGAGCUCACCUCGGGUGGUGCUGCACAGAGCAUGUAGAAACAGUGGUAGUUCCUUUCUGGGUCUGAGAUUUGGCAAACUCUUGAUCUUUCAAGAAGAUAUGUCCGAACUGCAGCUCCAGAGAUCUUCCCAUACUUAUCGAAUUGGAUCUCUACAAAUUUACCAAAACGACUGGCGUCUGCAACUGCAAAAAGAUGUGGAUUUAGCUCACCGAAAGCAGCUCCUUUAUACUGUUCCAUCAUAUGGAUGUCGUACAAGUGCGGCAGUCUCCGGAAAGGAUUCACCGCUAUUAGAAUAUUCCCGGUUGUUCGCUAGGCUACAAAUGACUCACAUAUAUCUCAUUGAGAGCAAACCGAGAGGCAAGGUUGUAAAGGACUCCUGGCUCAUGGAGGUAUGCCAACUUGGUCAUGUCAUCAACCCCUGCUGGUGGUGCUUCUGAGUCUUUUGGGUAUAUGCUUGAGAUAUCUGCAACUAUCUGCAAAUGGUAAAGAGAGUCUAGCUUAGUUUAGAUACUACCUUUUCUGCAUGUUCAUUAGAGUUUAUUAUUGUUUGAUAUUUAUGAAUCCUUUCACAUUGGAGAUAUUCUUUCUUCUUCAGAAAAGAACAGGGUAACUAACAUAGGGCACAUAGGCACUCAAAUCCAUGUUAUAAUUUUGAUUAUCACACCUAAAUUUAAAAGGAAAGGAUCUCCUUUGUCUCACUGGCUAAAACAAGGCUGCUACCAUCAUCGGCUAUAGUUCUAAUGUUUUUGGGUUUUGUUUUUGCAAGAAAUUUGAAAAACUGUUAAUGAAAACAAGUUUGAUAACUGGUUUCAAUUCCAAAAAAUGUAAACAGUUCUCAAAAUUUACAUCACUUUAAGAUUUUUUUUUAUUUUUAUUUUUGUGUGCGUGUGUGUUUUCACCUAUUUUGAAGACAAGUUUUAUUCCCUCCUCCCUCUGGCCACCACCUCUGGUAACCCCCCUCUGCCCCACCACAUCCAGCCACCUCCUCCCGCCAGCCACCCCAACCUUCUGGCCACCACCUCUGGCAACCUCCCACCCUUCAGGCCUCCCCUGUGAGAACUCAUCAAACUUGUUUUCUUGUUUUUAUUUUUGUAUGUUUUGGAAACAAACGUGUACCAAACAUGUUUUUGUUUUUGUUUUCAACAAAAAUAAACAUAAAUAUGUUACCUAUUUUCAUUAAACAAAAGCAAAAAAUUGUGAAUGUUGCCAAGCACUCUGUGAUUCUGUCCAACCAGUUUGCAGAGGAAGGGAGGCAAGAACCCAUUAGUGUCAUUGAAUUUUCUUCCAUAUACUGGCAGUUGCAACUUAUUGGUGCUUUUCAGUUUUAUGUUACAAUUGGUGUUUUCUGUAAAACAUGUACGUCUUGUCUUAAUAAUAAACCCAAUAUAUAAUCACCAAUGACAGUUUACUGGAACAUAUAGCCUCUGAUGUUGACUGAUGAAAAUGUUAGAAAAAGCCUUCAGUAGAGCUAAUAAAUAUCUCUUAUAUUGGUAAAUAUUUUUUAUCCACUUUCCACCUUUUCAGGCUGUUAUAUGUUUAUGUUAUACACACUGCCUAAAACAACAAAGAUUUAUCUGUGGUUUCAAAUAUAUGCUGUACUGAUUCCUGUAAUAUUAACAGAUCUAACGGUCCUAGUUGUUUGAUCAUGUACAUAUAUAGCUGCUCUCCAAUAUAAUGGGAGGCAAGAUUAGCUUACAGUUUUCCCAUUUGUGGUAACUAUGGUGGCAUCGCUGCCUUUGAUUUCUAUCACUUCUCCGUCGAUCCACGCAACUUCAGGAUCCUCAGCCCACACUUGUGAUCCAACUAUGAUGUUUACAGGAGUUCCCUGGAUCAUUCAAGAAUCACAAAAGGAUCAUCAAAUUCACAGCUGAGAUGCAGAGAAGAAGCCAAUGUGUUUUGGUUGUCCUCUGAGAGAGAGAGAGAGAGAGAGAGAGAGAGAGAAUGGUAUUGCUGUUGAGGAAUGAAAAGUAGAGAGAAUGUUGAAAAGGAAUGUUUUUCAAAGCAAAUGGAAAAGCAGAGAAAAUGAAGAUGGUGGUGGUGGUGGUGACUCUCAAAAGCAAAAGGCAGAGCAGCCACCCCUCAUCACCUCCCUCCCACUCUCCCCCACAUGCUGUCAACUUUUUUUUAUUUUUGCUCAUUCCACAUAGGCUGCUGACUUGGCUCCACAACCAGCCUCAAGAUGUAAAAUUGUGUAUCAUUCUUUGAGUCGGCAAGUCUUGUGUGUCCAUUAUAUGUUAUUUUUUAUUUUUAUUUUUAUUUUUAUUUAUUGUUUGUUAUUUGCACCCAAGCAGAGCUGAUCUUAGAUUUAGUAGGUGUGGGGGAGUGGCUAUAAAACAAUGUGUCCUCCUUUGCAUAGUUGUUGCCUUUACUCUCUUAAAUCAAUUGGGCUAAUGAUGGCUUGUUGUUA